UGGGGAAUAUUGCACAAUGGGCGCAAGCCUGAUGCAGCCAUGCCGCGUGUAUGAAGAAGGCCUUCGGGUUGUAAAGUACUUUAAGCGGGGAGGAAGGGAGUAAAGUUAAUACCUUUACUCAUUGACGUUACCCGCAGAAGAAGCACCGGCUAACUCCGUGCCAGCAGCCGCGGUAAUACGGAGGGUGCAAGCGUUAAUCGGAAUUACUGGGCGUAAAGCGCACGCAGGCGGUUUGUUAAGUCAGAUGUGAAAUCCCCGGGCUCAACCUGGGAACUGCAUCUGAUACUGGCAAGCUUGAGUCUCGUAGAGGGGGGUAGAAUUCCAGGUGUAGCGGUGAAAUGCGUAGAGAUCUGGAGGAAUACCGGUGGCGAAGGCGGCCCCCUGGACGAAGACUGACGCUCAGGUGCGAAAGCGUGGGGAGCAAACAGG
rnacentral:rRNA from 1 species